UGACGUAGUGGCUGCAGAUCUAAAUAUAAAGCAAAAAAAAACAACGAAUAGGCGCAGAUAGACAGACAUUUUAGUCAUCAAGCUGCAUCCGACUAGUUGAUAUUCUGGUAAGUAAUAUAAUCACAAGAUCAAAGAGGUUUCUGAAAAUGCAUUUUGAUGAAGCAGUGUGCAAUGUCAAGUUAAAAUCGAUAUAAAAGUACACAAGAUUAAUUUACCUACUCCUUAUGUUUCUUGAAUAAAAAAUAUCUGUUUCAUUUCUCAAUGUUGGAGACAGCAUAUUAUCUAAGAAUAUCAAUGAAUUAUAAUGUUCCAAAAAAUCUUAUUUUCACUCACGGAUUAUGAUGUCGUACAAAAUCUCUGACACGAUAGACAGAUGCGUUCCGGCAAAGUUCUCGCAGAUCAGAGCCAGAAAAACCCUCCGUCAUGUUGCUCAGGGCAUACUGAUGUGGAAGGUUGCGGGCAUUCGACGUAGAAUGGCUUUGUCUAGAUCUUGAGGCCGAUUGGUAGCUCCCAUAAUGAUGACAGUACACGUUGGAUCUGUGAUCAGUCCAUCCCAUAAUGACAUAAACUGAGCUUUCAUCAUAGCAGUAGCUUCAUGGUCGUGUGUAUUACGCGUCCGAAGAAAGGAAUCUUCACAGAAUACACAAUUGAGGUUGAAACGACCUUGUUCUUCACGUAAAAUGGGAGUUCCUGUAAGAUUGGGGGAAGUCCCCGUUUGCUGACCAAUUAUGCCCAGGGAAAUGGACAUCCUUACUCGAUGAAAAGUGUUUCACAAAGAAUAUGAGACGAAUUAAAAAUUUGGUGGCGAUUUUUCAUAAA